AUUGAACGCUGGCGGCAUGCCUUACACAUGCAAGUCGAACGGCAGCACGGGAGCAAUCCUGGUGGCGAGUGGCGAACGGGUGAGUAAUAUAUCGGAACGUGCCCAGUCGGGGGGGAUAACGCAGCGAAAGCUGUUCUAAUACCGCAUACGAUCUCAGGAUGAAAGCGGGGGAUCGCAAGACCUCGCGCGAUUGGAGCGGCCGAUAUCAGAUUAGCAAGUUGGUGGGGUAAAGGCCCACCAAGGCGACGAUCUGUAGCUGGUCUGAGAGGACGACCAGCCACACUGGAACUGAGACACGGUCCAGACUCCUACGGGAGGCAGCAGUGGGGAAUUUUGGACAAUGGGCGCAAGCCUGAUCCAGCAAUGCCGCGUGCAGGAUAAAGGCCUUCGGGUUGUAAACUGCUUUUGUACGGAGCGAAAAGGUCUCCUCUAAUACAGGGGGCUCAUGACGGUACCGUAAGAAUAAGCACCGGCUAACUACGUGCCAGCAGCCGCUGUAA
rnacentral:rRNA from 1 species